UAUGGGGGUGUUCACAAGGUAUCUUGUCCUCCCAAACAAGUCCAUUUACAUUAAAAGAAACAAAUUGGAAGAAGAUUGAAAAUCAAAAACGAUUAUGAAGAGACGAAAAGAAGCAUUAACGUUUAUGAUUUGAUGUUCUUUUUCGGUCGCUAACAUUAGAUGCUUUUUUCUAAAACUUCUCAUCACUCUAUUUUCUUUCCUAUGUUCACGCGAUCACUUUUGGGUCGUCUCUUGUUACAGCCAAACACAUAAUUAACUAUCACAUUGUCCAAAAUAUAAGCGGUUAGAUGCACAUGAUCUCACGAUUAGAAAAUUUUGUCAAAACCUUUUGUUAAGUGAUCCCGACUUUUUACAUUGCUCCGUGGUAAACAUUGUAGUUCUUAAAUGGAUUAUAGGUUUCUGGCAGGUCGAGAAUUCUGAUUUGCCGCGUUUGGAUCAGGAUGUUAUCUUCUUCAUCAUCAUCAGGGGUUCCUGGAUCAUGUCCUAAAAAUUACAGCAUCUUCGAAAUGGAGAAAGAUUACAGUAGGUGGAAUCUCAUAUACAAGCUCGACCUAGAAAGAAUUAUAAAUGCAUAACACCUAGACACGCUGAAGCAUUAUAACGAUACCAUCGAUUAUUAUGUGUGGGUAAUGUUUCUCGGGGAAGCCGAAGAGAAAUCAUCAACAAAAUUGGUGUUGUUGAUAAAUGCUACUCAAGUUAUAUCCUAUGAUCUGAAAGAGAUGAGCUAUAUGGAGAUCUAUCACUUCGAUUCAAAAACUCUCACCAUGACUCCAAGCUCAGGCUCACGGGGUUAUGUUCAUCAGUACAUAAAGUCACUUGCCUGUGUUUGAAUAUUUUCAUGGCGUCUCUCACUUAUUUCACCUUACUAAAGUUAAUCUCCUACUUAAUAAUGUCAUGUUCAGCCCUUGUUUUGUAUCAUGCAAUAAGUUCUGAAAUGAACCGAAAAUAUAUCCUGUUAUGUUGUUUACUAUCGUUAUUGGCUUGCAUUACUGCUUUACCAUGCACGGGUCUA